rnacentral:rRNA from 1 species
CCACGCUGUAAACGAUGAGUGCUAGGUGUCGGCAAAAGUCGGUGCCGCAGUUAACACAUUAAGCACUCCGCCUGGGGAGUACGUGCGCAAGCAUGAAACUCAAAGGAAUUGACGGGGACCCGCACAAGCAGCGGAGCAUGUGGUUUAAUUCGAAGCAACGCGAAGAACCUUACCGGGGCUUGACAUAUAUCUGACCCUCUUAGAGAUAAGAACUUUCUUCGGAACAGAUAUACAGGUGGUGCAUGGUUGU